AGCGAUCGAAGAAGAAGACCCAGCAGCGAUCGAAGAAGAAGAAUCAGAAACUUACCUCUUCUCUUUUUCCCUCUUGCUGCGUCUUUUUCCCUUCUCUUUUUCUAGGGCUCAGUUGUAUCAAUUUAUAUGUAAGUUAUUAAAAUUAUAAAAUAUACCCAAGUAUUUUUAUAAUUACAUUUUAACCCCUGCCGUGUCCCAAAUGUGUCCCCGCCGUGUCUCAGACGUGUCCGCUGCUU
rnacentral:lncRNA from 1 species